CCCCUUUCCAUUUGCAAAGCCAUCCCACAUGGAUCCUUGAAUAUAAACACGUGUGCCAUCUAGAUAUUGGCUAGGAUCGACUGAUUGCAAAGACAAGUCUUCCUGCCAGUUUCUUCAGAGAUCACAAAAAAGGGAUGAAGUUUUAGAUCAUUCUUUAAAGCAUCAUUGAUGUCGGGUGGUGGAACUUGUUCAUUUCCACCCACCCAAAGAGCAAGACUAGGAU
rnacentral:misc_RNA from 1 species